CCCCUGGUGGCUUAGAUGAUAAAGAAUAUGCCUGCAAUGCAGGAGACCCAGGUUCAAUCCCUGGGCCUGGAGA
rfam:TPA: Bos taurus chromosome X, whole genome shotgun sequence.